rnacentral:rRNA from 1 species
UACGUAGGGUGCGAGCGUUGUCCGGAAUUACUGGGCGUAAAGAGCUUGUAGGGGGUUUGUCGCGUUGUUCGUGAAAUCUCACGGCUUAACUGUGAGCGUGCGGGCGAUACGGGCAGACUAGAGUACUGCAGGGGAGACUGGAAUUCCUGGUGUAGCGGUGGAAUGCGCAGAUAUCAGGAGGAACACCGGUGGCGAAGGCGGGUCUCUGGGCAGUAACUGACGCUGAGAAGCGAAAGCGUGGGGAGCGAACAGG